rnacentral:rRNA from 1 species
AUUGAACGCUAGCGGGAGGCCUUACACAUGCAAGUCGAGCGGAGUGGCGGACGGGUGAGUAAUGUAUGGGAACGUGCCUAGUAGCGGGGGAUAACUACUCGAAAAGGUGGCUAAUACCGCAUACUAUUGGAGCGGCCCAUAUCGGAUUAGCUAGUUGGGGGGGUAACGGCUCACCAAGGCAACGAUCCGUAGCUGGUUUGAGAGGACGACCAGCCACACUGGGACUGAGACACGGCCCAGACUCCUACGGGAGGCAGCAGUGGGGAAUUUUGGACAAUGGGGGAAACCCUGAUCCAGCCAUCCCGCGUGUAUGAUGAAGGCCUUCGGGUUGUAAAGUACUUUUGGCAGGGAAGCGGUAUCUGCAGAAUAAGCACCGGCUAACUACGUGCCAGCAGCCGCGGUAAUAC